rnacentral:rRNA from 1 species
GACGAACGCUGGCGGCGUGCCUAAUACAUGCAAGUAGAACGCUGAAACUUGGUGCUUGCACCGAGCGGAUGAGUUGCGAACGGGUGAGUAACGCGUAGGUAACCUGCCUGGUAGCGGGGGAUAACUAUUGGAAACGAUAGCUAAUACCGCAUAAGAGUAGAUGUUGCAUGACAUUUGCUUAAAAGGUGCAAUUGCACCACUACCAGAUGGACCUGCGUUGUAUUAGCUAGUUGGUGGGGUAACGGCUCACCAAGGCGACGAUACAUAGCCGACCUGAGAGGGUGAUCGGCCACACUGGGACUGAGACACGGCUCAGACUCCUACGGGAGGCAGCAGUAGGGAAUCUUCGGCAAUGGACGGAAGUCUGACCGAGCAACGCCGCGUGAGUGAAGAAGGUUUUCGGAUCGUAAAGCUCUGUUGUAAGAGAAGAACGAGUGUGAGAGUGGAAAGUUCACACUGUGACGGUAUCUUACCAGAAAGGGACGGCUAACUACGUG